rnacentral:rRNA from 1 species
GACGAACGCUGGCGGCGUGCUUAACACAUGCAAGUCGAACGGAAAGGCCCUGCUUGCAGGGUACUCGAGUGGCGAACGGGUGAGUAACACGUGGGUGAUCUGCCCUGCACUUCGGGAUAAGCUUGGGAAACUGGGUCUAAUACCGGAUAGGAGCCAUCUUUAGUGUGGUGGUUGGAAAGUUUUUUCGGUGUAGGAUGAGCUCGCGGCCUAUCAGCUUGUUGGUGGGGUAAUGGCCUACCAAGGCGGCGACGGGUAGCCGGCCUGAGAGGGUGUACGGCCACAUUGGGACUGGGAUACGGCCCAGACUCCUACGGGAGGCAGCAGUGGGGAAUAUUGGACAAUGGGCGCAAGCCUGAUGCAGCGACGCCGCGUGGGGGAUGAAGGCCUUCGGGUUGUAAACUCCUUUCGCUAGGGACGAAGCUUUGUUGUGACGGUACCUAGAUAAGAAGCACCGGCUAACUACGUG